AGGAGAGGUCCUUCCAUCCUUGGAUGCAAAACCCCCACAAUAUUGCCUGAUGUUCAUAGAAUAGGAUGUAUUCUUUCCCAUUUGAAAUAAUGGCAUAACUUUGGAAGCACAACUUGACUGCAUAUCACUCCUACCAGUGGCUUGCCAGGUGACCUGAGCGAAGUCAUUAAACUGGGUCUUGUUUGUAAAACUAAGGGACCAGUAUUUUAUUAUUUUGCAAAGCUUAAGAGAGCAAAGAUGAGAGUUUUGCAAAGCUGAAAGCUUAAGAUGUAAUUUUUCCUAUAAUUGUAAAUCUUUUCUGUCUCCUGGGGGCUUCCUUUAAAUUAGCACUGGGUGAAAACUAAAAUGGGGCAAAGAUAUCUUCAUAUCCAUAUUCCAUAGAUUCUAUCUUGGCAGAAUGGAUUUCUCCAGCAGAACCUCUCAAAAAGUGUUAUAUUGAGACCAUGACCCCUAGAAUUGGUUUCAUAGCUAAUGUUCAUGCAAUACUAGUACAGCAGAGGAGUAGGAGAAAGGAAACCUCCGACUUCUCUAGAAAAGUAAAAUGUUCUGAAAGA